ACUCCUGGCUGGGCUUCAACAGGCCUUUCGCAGGGCUCAGCUGGAACGGCGCAGCACAUACCCACUUGAAGCAUGUCUGGAGUUUACUGUGGGAAGAAGAGUAUGCGGAAAGUGGCCGGAAAGUGGUGCGUGAAGAGUGUUGAACAGCACAGAGUGGAAGCAGCACAGAGUCAGGAACCUCCAAGGCAUGACAGGGAAUGGUGGCACGGAGGCAUACUUUGAAGCUGCCAUCUUUACUUUGAAACUCAAUGCCGUCCUCAUACUCACACUGUCCCAAGCAGUCAGACAGACACACAAACCGAUACACAGACAGAAGACAUGAAACAAUCAAGGUGGAGCAUAUAACAUCCCUGAUGGUCCCAGUCCUCCCAGACCAGCUCUGGCCUCGUUUCCAAGCCUAAGAAGCAGCUUCUUUUGCUGGACACAUGUCGCUGGUGAUCCCCUUCCUGUUGCCUGUUGUGAUUCCCUAGAUCCUGCCAGGUGGGGCGUUGCAGAAGAUGUGAAUUUUGGAAAAAGACAGAUAAAUGACUUUAAGACUCAUUAAUUGAACCUUUAGUAUUUAAUACUCUUUGUAGACCUGAAACUGCCAUAUUCCUAUAGUUAUUUCAAAAAAGACCACCUUCUUUACAAGCAGUGAGCUGUGUUAUUCUGCCCUGAAAGUUUUGUGCUGACAUUAUUUGUGGGACUGACCAGUAGAAAUGGAUGAGGUCACUCAUAAAUCAACAUGUUUUGUGCACAUGUGCCAUUAUGUCAGAACAACUGAGGACUAAUGCACAAAUGGACAGAUAUGGUCAAUGUUAUCACAAUGCAGUCUAGUAAAAACUAGCUCAUGAGCAACACUGUAACUGUUUAAUGGCAUGCAAA